rnacentral:lncRNA from 10 species
CCAACCUCCAUCUUGCCUUCUUGUCCUCUCCCUGUUUACUGGCCAGUGAUGUGGUGGGUGGAAGAGCCAGUAAAUCCAUCAGGCGGGGGAGGCAGGAAGACUUGGACCAUCAGUUCAUGAAUCAGCCCAGCUCUGGGGCUCCUGUCAGUCGAACACAGCACAGCAGCAUCUGGAGUUGGUGCUCCAGGGGCACUGUGGUAGGGAAGGAGAAGGCACCUCCAGGACCAGACAGACCUGGCUCAAAUCCUGGCACCUCCACUCACCAGCUCCGUGAUCUUGGGGCCUUCUUGGAUCAUUCAACCAGCAGAUGAAGAAAAAGAGGGCGAAUGGAGAAUUAUAUGUCAGAGAAUUUUAUGGAUCUUACUGGUCUGCUGGAGUUUGCUGUCGGUCCACUCCAGACCCUGUUUGCCUGGAUAUCACCAGCAGAAGCUACAGAACAGCCAAGAUUGCUGCCCUUUCCUUCCUCUGGAAGCUUUGUCUCACAUGGGCACCCACCAGAUGCCAGCCAGAGCUCUCCCAUAUGAGGUGUCUGUCAACCCCUUCUGGGAGGUGUCUCCCCAUCAGGAGGCACAGGGGUCAGGUACCCACUUGAGGAGGCAAUCUGUCCCUUAGCAGAGCUCAAGUGCUGUGCUUGGAGAUCCACUUCUCUCCUCAGAGCCAGCAGUCAGGAAUGUUUAAGUCUGCUGAAGCUGUGCCCACAGCCAACCUUCCCCCAGGUGCUCUGUUCCAGGGAGAUGAGAGUUUUAUCUAUAAGCCCCUGACAGGGGCUGCUGCCUUUCUUUCAGAGAUGUCCUGCCCAGAGAAGAAGAAUCUAGAGAAGCAGUCUGGCUACAGCGGCUUUGUGGAGCUGCAGUGGGCUCUGCCCAGUUUGAAAUUUCAGGCCGCUUUCUUUAUACUGUGAGGGGAAAACCGUCUACUCAAGCCUCAGUAAUGGUGGAUGCCCUUCUCUGCACCAAGCUCGAGCAUCCCAGGAUGACUUCCGACUGCUGUGCUGGCAGCGAGAAUUUCAAGCCAGUGGAUCUUAGCUUGCUGGGCUCCAUGGAGAUGGGAUCCACUGAGCUAGACCACUUGGCUCCCUGGCAUCAGCCCCAUUUCCAGGCAAGUGAAUGGUUCUCUCUCCCUGGCAUUCCAGGUGCCACUGGGUUAUGAACAAAAACUCCUGCAGCUAGCUUGGUGUCUGCCCAAACAGCCGCCCAGUUUUGUGCUUGAAACCCAGGGCCCUGGUGGCGUAGGCACCUGAGGGAAUCUCCUGGUCUAUGGGUUGUGAAGACCAUGGUAAAAAGGUAGUAUCUCGGCUGGAAAGCACCGCUUCUCAUGGCACAGUCCCUCAUGGCUUCCCUUGGCUAGGGGAGGGAGUUCCCCAACCCCUUGCACUUCCCGGGUGAGGUGAUGCCCCACCCUGCUUCAGCUUGCCCUCUGUGCACCCUCUGUCUAACCAGUCUCAAUGACAUGAGCUGGGUACCUCAGUUAGAAAUGCAGAAAUCACCUACCUUCUGCAAUGAUUUUGAUGGGAGGUGCAGACGAGCUGUUCCUAUUCAGUCAUCUUGCCAGCCACACAUGCCCAUCUUCAUUCCAUUAUUUCAUUUACUCUAAACAUACUUUCAGGCAGUUCUUAAAAUUUACUCCAUUUUAACUAUAAUGAAUCCAUGUAUGAAUGCAUUUGUCUUUUUCUGGCUCUUUCAUAGUGCUUCUUGAAUUGGAUGAUUCUUGUCUUUUUUAAAUUCUGGAAAAUUCUCACACAUUCUAUGUUUAGUUUGACCUCCUUAUUCUUCACAGUCUGUUAUUAUGGAAGUACUAUGCUUAACACGUUGCGUCUCUCUGUUUUCUUCGAUGUUACCAACAAGAUGUCUUAAACUAUCACCACCUGCCCCUACAAAUGUACACAGGUUAGGAUGUUUCAUUUAUCGUUUUCUGCUUGUGAUACAACUUGGCUGUAACAGAAGUUCUUUCAGUGUUGAGGCUCAGAAACUCUCAAAGUUGAUAUUUAGUCCCUGACUAUAAUAAGAUGUGGGAAGAGGGGACAUUUCAAACUCUCCAUGUUGGUCCCUUGCCCCACUCAUUGAGGAAAGUGAAGUCUAUUUUGCAAAAUUAAGGCUGAGUCAGUGAAAGAGAUCUAACAUAACUGCCUCCGUCUUGCUUCUAAAACCCAAACUGUCCUUGUUCAUUCCUGGGCAUAGGCUGAGCUAACUUUGGGAGAAACUUAUUUAUAGUUUAUAGUUUAAAACUAAGAUGAUGAGGUGGGGGGCAGCCCCCGCCCGGCCAGCCCCCCCGUCCGGGAGGUGGGGGGCAGCCCCCGACAGGCCAGCCGCUCCGUCCGGGAGGUGGGGGGCAGCCCCCACCCGGCCAGCCACCCCCUGCGGGAGGUGGGGGGCAGCCCCCGCCCGGCCGCUGCCCUGUCCCGGAGGUGGGGGGCGCCUCUGCCUGGCUGCCCCAUCUGGGAAGUGGGGAGCCCCUCUGCCCGGCCGCCACCCAAUCUGGGAGGUGUACCCAGCAGCUCAUUGAGAAUGGGCCAUGAUGACGAUGGCAGUUUUGUCGAGUAGAAAGGGGGGAAAUGUGGGGAGAAGACAGAGAGAUCGGAUUCUUGUUGUGUCUGUGUGGAAAGAGGUGGAAAUGGGAGACUCCAUUUUGUUCUGUACUAAGAAAAAUUCUUCUGCCUUGGGAUGCUGUUAAUCUAUAACCUUACCCCCAACCCCGUGCCCUCUGAAACAUGUGCUGUGUCCACUAAGGGUUAAAUGGAUUAAGGGCGGUACAAGAUGUGCUUUGUUAAACAGAUGCUUGAAGGCAGCAUACUCCUUAAGAGUCGUCACUACUCCCUAAUCUCAAGUACCCAGGGACGCAAACACUGCGGAAGGCGGCAGGGCCCUCUGCCUAGGAAAACCAGAGACCUUUGUUCACAUGUUUAUCUGCUGACCUUCCCUCCACUAUUGUCCUAUGACCCUGCCAAAUCCCUCUCUCCGAGAAACACCCAAGAAUGAUCAAUAAAUACUAAAAAAAUUAAAAAACAAAAACAAAAAAAACUAAGAUGAUAACAGCCCUUUCCCAAAGCAGGCCUCCUUCUUGCCUGGGGACUAGAUUGCCUCUGUAGGACUAACAUUAGCUACAAGAUUAGAAAUUAUGGCUAAAGGGCAUUGCAGCUUGAGACUACAAGAUUCUUACCCUCCCUAAACUGCUCCUAAGAUCAGUGCUUGAGAUAUUUUGCAGACUCUGCAAAUUUUAGUGCCUUAAUCAAUUAAACUCCAAUUAUAUAUUUAAAAUAUUGAUUAUUUUGAAUGUGUUUUAAAUGCUUAUGUAACAGCAAAAUAUCACAUAUAGAGUGAUUACAAGCUAGUUGUCAUAUUUACCUUUAUGUCUAUUCUAAAAUAAUAAUAAUAAUGCAAGGUAAAAUCAUUUCAUUGUUAUUCUAUACUAGUUUUUAUAUCUAACUAGAUAUAUAAUUUGAUAUAUUCUUAAGGUUGUAUAAUACAUAUUUUAUCACAUUUUCCAGUUUACAACAAUCUUAGAGAAAAUAAAGAGAAAGAAAAAAAUUUGAAAGGCAUAAUGGAAAAUAUCAGAAUAUUUUAUGUUAAAAUCAACAAUACAGCACACAUAACUUGAUGGAACCAUUUGAGAUCCUGAAAAUAAAAAUACCUUUAAAGUACUUCAAAAAAGAAAAUAUGCUUAUAAACUUUAAAUAGAAAAACUAUAUUAUAAAAAACAGCAGAGAAUAUUUCUGCAAGAUAUUAAAUUAAUUAUAUAAAUACUACAUUUUUAAAAGAGUUCUGUAAUUGGCCCAUGAGAAGAGAGUUCAAUGGGGCAGAGUUUGGAAAUGCAAAUCCUUAGGGGAAUUUGGUUUAUGACAAAAAUAACAUCUCGGAUAUCUGAAGAAAGAUGGAUUACUUAAUAAAUAAAAAAACAACUAGGUAUUUUUUGAAAAAAUAAUGUCAGAUUUUAAUCUCAAUUAUUAUAUAAGAAAUCAUUUUGCAUGGGUUAGUUUCAAAAUUUAAAAUAAAUGAAAGAGUCAUUGUUAUAAUCUUGAAAUGUGGUCUGGAAAACUCUUACUAAGAAAACGUAGGACUUGGACACUGUGAAAAGAAGAAACUGUUGAAUUGUACAACAUAAAAAUAAGUCACUAAAUUGAAUUUCAAACUGGUCAAGAAUGUAUAGAAAAGGUAUAACAGAUCAAACACUAAUUCAUUAUAUUCAAAUUUUGGUUCAUUAAAAUUAAAAAUGUCUGCUCUGCAAAAGCUUUUGUUAAGAGAAAAAAAAGACAAGCCACAGACUAAAAAAAAAUUGCAAAAGAUAGCUGAUGAAGGAUUCUAUGCAGAAUAUACAAAUUAACAGUGUAAAAACAAACCGCACAAUUAAAAAUAGACAAAAUAUCUGAACAGAUACUUUAUUAAAGAAGAUAGAUGACAAAUAAAGAUGUUAAAAUGCUCAAAAUCAUAUAUCAUUUAGGAAUUGCAAAUUCAAACAAUGAGAUACUACCCUAAACCUAUUAUAAGUAUGGCUGAAAUCAAAAAUACAAACAAGGACGUGAAGAACAGGAACUCUCAUUCAUUGCUGGUGGGAGUGCAAAAUGGUAUAGGAACUUUGGAAGACAGUUUGACAUUCUUGCAAAGCUGAAUAUAAGCUUACUAUAUAAUCUAGAAAUUGUGCUUCUAAGUAUAACCCAAAUUAGUUGAAAACUUGAUACAAAUGCUUAAAGAGUCUUUUCUAAUACUUGUUAAAAUUGGAAGCAGUCAAGAUGUGCUUCAGUAAGUGAAUGAAUAAACAAACUAUGAUAAGUCCAUACAAUGAACUAUUACUCAGUGAUAGAAAGAAAUGAGUUAUGAAGCCAUUAAAAGACAUGUAGGAAGAUUAAAUACAUAUUACUAAGUGAAAUAAGUCAGUUUGAAAAGGGCACAGACUGUAUGAAUCCAACCGUAUGAAAUUCUGAGUCAGACCUAUAGAGACAGUAAAAAGAGCAGUAAUUGGCCAGGCUUCAGGGGAAGGGAGGGAUGAACAGGUGAAGCACAGGACAUUUUUAUGAUGGUGAAAUUAUAUCCUAUGAUACUAUAACAGUGGAUACAUAGCAUAAUACAUUUAUAUAAUGAAUUUGAGAAUUUCAGAGGCUUAUCAAGGAAAAAGAUAAGCCCACAGGUGGCAGUAGCACACAAAGCUUCUACUUGGACGCUACUUGGACAGGGUUGCAAAAAGAACAGUCCUCACAGCAUAAGGCCUUAUAGAAGCACAGGGGACCACCAUCCAGAACGCAGGAGGACAAAGGAGCUCCCAAGGAUGGGAAGGGAGAUGCUGCAUGUCUAGAUAACAUCACUUCACAGCAUGGUAGGAAGCUGCUGGGUCAGAGGGCUCUGAAGGGCAGCAGCCUGCAGUUUAUGUAACUACAAGAUUUUUCUUAUCUAUGGCCGGCAGAUGUUGGGUGCAGUUUCCCAAGGUGUACAAAGCAGGAAGACAUAAAAUGGCAAAAAAAAUCUGCCUGUUGGAGAUAUAUUUACAACAACUGGAUGCGAAAACAUUUCAGUUUGGCACUGUGGGCUUUUGAGCUAAUGAGUCUCAGCCUGAUUUAAGAAGUAAGCAACAAAGGGCCAAUAUGCAAAGGCCAUCUCUGGCUCAUUUAUAUAACAAUUUGUUAAAUCCUAGAGAAUGGUACAACACAGAGUGUCUAAUGUAAACUUGGACUUUUGUUAAUAAUAAUCUAUCAAUAUUGGUUCAUUAAUUUCAAUAAAUGUAUCACACAAAUGCAAGAGGUUAUCAAAAGGGGAAACUCUGUGGGAGGGGGGCAGGUAGGGAAGAGGGAGUGGGGCUAUGUGGGAACUUUAUAUACCUUCUGCACAAUUUUUCUGUGAACCUAAAACUUCUAUAGAAAAUAAAGUCUAUAAAAAUGUUAAAAGUCAAUGAGGAGAAAAAGGAGAGCGAAAUAAAUGGAAACUUGGGGGAAAUUUUGUAAUUCACAAAAUAAAAUCAAAAGUCAAAACCAAAUAAUUCUGCACAUCCAAAAUAUAACUAACAAGUCCAUUGAAUUAUAAACUGGUCAGAAACACAUGCAACAGUUAUAACAGAUCAAAAAGAGAUUUGUGCAAGUUUAAUGCAAAGGAAAUGUGGAGUAAGGCAUUAAGUAGGCAGUUUAGAGAAAAUGAAUACAAUUUUUUGAGAGGAAAGAAGGCCACCCUAACUCAAUAAACAAGUAAAAUAUUAUCACUGUGAGUUUCUAUUUUUCAUCUGUAAAUUUGGAAAAUACAAAAAACCCUGAAACCUGUAACACCCACCUGACAAACUCACAUAUGCUGUUGGUGGACAUGUACACUGGUAACUAUUUCAGAAUAUUUUUGAUAUCGUAAUAAAAACAGCACAUAGCCUUUGACAAAAUAGUUCUAUUCAUAGAAAUAUUUCCUACAUUCUUACUUACAGAUAUGCUCAAAACAUAUGUACAAGGGUGUUUGUGGCAGCUUUCGUUUUAUUAGCCAAAGACUGGACACUACCCAACUACACAUUGGUAAGAUUUGUACCAUGUAACAAGUAGCUUUUGCCAGAAAUUUUAAAUCUUGUAUGCCACUUAUUGGUUCAGGAUUUUAAUGUAUAUGUCUCUAAAUAAACUAUAUUUAUGUCUGCUUUGCAUUGAUCCCCUUCCACUGCAAAUUUUCAUCACCUAUCGAGGUCCCACCAGCCUAUUGUGUCUUUGCUUAUCUUACUGUACAGAUAACUCACAUGGAUUCCAAUAUGGACCACAAUUUGGACAGCUUCUUCAUUGUAUAAGAUAUAAGUAAAUCAUGUCACCUCAAUACAAAUAUUGAGUUCUUGAGGGCAAAUGUUAGGUCUUCUUCAUUUGUUGUUGUUUUUUUUUUUCUCCCUGGAACCUAAUACAUGAUAAAGACUUGCUGAUUAGAAGUAAUUUUUCCUAACCAUAAGACAGUUCUUAUAGUACAUAUCCUCAUUACAUAACUAUGUAUUAAACCUAAGGAAAAUGCUCAAGAGUUUGUCCCUUUUGUUUGGUCCUUGCUUUUUCUGGCACACUUCAUAUUGCCAAGGCCCGUAAGGGUAAGAGAGAGAGUCAUACCUGAACUUGAUAUUGUCAUCUGGAGGAGAUUCAUAACAACAAAGUAUCUGGAGAAAGAUAGCCCUGUAGUUUCCAUUAUACCUGUGAUAAGAAAUUAGGCAGGUUCAGUGAGAACAGGAUUAAUAUGUCACAGAAAUCACAUAUCUCCACAUCUUCCUGCAGUAAUUAACUCUCAAAUAGAGUUACCAGAUGAAACGUAGAACCCCCAGUUAGAUUUGAAUUUCAGAUCGGCAGUGCAAGUUUUUUGGUAUAAAUAUUUCUUGUGCAUCAUAUAAUUUUUAUUUUCUAAAUCUGGUAACUCUACUUUUAAGAUGUUCAAUAUAAUGACCAAGUCCAGCCAGAGGCUUCUUUCUCAUUAAAGGAUUUCUU